GCAGCCACGUGCCUCUUCUCCCCAGUGAUGGUGAGAAUCCGCUGGGGAUUCUGGGAAAGUUUUCUUUUUCCUGAUAAAGGAGCAGGAGAGGCUGGUGCCACCUCUCUCCCGUGCUUCCUGUCUUGAGAUUCCUAGACAUCCCAGGUGAUCCUAGGACCAGGAGGCAGAAGCCAAAGUUUGGUGCUGCGCUCCCAGAACUGACUCACUGAAGGUUUGCUGUCGGACUGGUCCACACUGUAUGUCUUCUGAAGGCUUGUUUCCAGUCUAAGAAUUCUGAGCUGAGGGAUGUUCUUUCUCCCUGACAGCCUCCACUGAGCCUGGAAGAGGAGAGCUAGACAAAGGCCUGAAAGAGCGCCUGGCACCUAGUAGGAGCUCAAUAAAUGCUGAAUGACUACAGAAGCACCAACCGCUCCAACAGACACUUGAGGUGUGGAAGUGAACUGAAAGCAGGAUCUGGACCUCACGAAGCUUUGGAUUCGUAACACAGAAACAACACAAGUAAAUAGCAAAAGAACAAAACCAAGAUAAUAAAAAAUUGUAA